UGUCAAGUUGUUGUAAAUCUGCAAGAUAUUGAUGCCUUCACCAGAUCCAGUUCUUUGCUGCAAUGUAUUUUGUGGACAACAGCAAGAAAAUGCUGCUACUCAAGAUUUUGUGGUGACCACCACUUAGUUCUAAUUUAGGACAAUGUAAGAUUGAUAGAUUUGAGGUUAAUCCUUCUCCACUGUUACAGUUGUUUGUAAACCAACAAGAGAUUGCUGGAAUUGAAGACUGAUAAUUU